GAUGAACGCUGGCGGCGUGCUUAACACAUGCAAGUCGAACGAAGCACUUUAUUUGAUUUCCUUCGGGACUGAUUAUUUUGUGACUGAGUGGCGGACGGGUGAGUAACGCGUGGGUAACCUGCCUUGUACAGGGGGAUAACAGUUGGAAACGGCUGCUAAUACCGCAUAAGCGCACAGCAUCGCAUGAUGCAGUGUGAAAAACUCCGGUGGUAUAAGAUGGACCCGCGUUGGAUUAGCUAGUUGGUGAGGUAACGGCCCACCAAGGCGACGAUCCAUAGCCGGCCUGAGAGGGUGACCGGCCACAUUGGGACUGAGACACGGCCCAAACUCCUACGGGAGGCAGCAGUGGGGAAUAUUGCACAAUGGGCGAAAGCCUGAUGCAGCGACGCCGCGUGAGCGAAGAAGUAUUUCGGUAUGUAAAGCUCUAUCAGCAGGGAAGAUAAUGAAGGUACCUGACUAAGAAGCACCGGCUAAAUACGUG
rnacentral:rRNA from 1 species